GACAAACGCUGGCGGCGUGCCUAAUACAUGCAAGUCGAACGACGAAAGCCUUCGGGCAAGUAAGAGUGGCGCACGGGCGAGGACCACGUAGAUAAUCUGCCCUUCAGUGGGGAAUACCUCUCCGAAAGGAGUGCUAAUACCGCAUAAGAGCACCAGCUCUGCGGAGCAAGGGGUUAAAGGAUUUAUUCGCUGAAGGAUGAGUCUGCGUCCGAUGAGCUAGGUGGUGAGGUAAUGGCUUACCAAGGCAAUGAACGGUAGCUGGUCUGAGAGGAUGAUCAUCCGCACUGGAACUGAGACACGGUCCAGACUCCUACGGGAGGCAGCAGUGGGGAAUAUUGCACAAUGGGGGAAACCCUGAUGCAGCAACGCCGCGUGAGUGAUGAAGGCUCUAGGGUCGUAAAGCUCUGUCGUAUGGGAAGAAAAAAAUGACGGUACCAUACAAGAAAGGACCGGCCAACUUCGUGCCAGCCGCCGCGGUAA
rnacentral:rRNA from 1 species